CCAGACAGCCAGGAUGUUGGCUUAGAAGCAGCCAUCAUUUAAAGAAAGCGUAAUAGCUCACUGGUCGAGUCGGCCUGCGCGGAAGAUGUAACGGGGCUAAACCAUGCACCGAAGCUGCGGCAGCGACACUAAGUGUUGUUGGGUAGGGGAGCGUUCUGUAAGCCUGUGAAGGUGUGUUGUGAGGCAUGCUGGAGGUAUCAGAAGUGCGAAUGCUGACAUAAGUAACGAUAAAGCGGGUGAAAAGCCCGCUCGCCGGAAGACCAAGGGUUCCUGUCCAACGUUAAUCGGGGCAGGGUGAGUCGAC
rnacentral:rRNA from 1 species